rnacentral:rRNA from 1 species
GACGAACGCUGGCGGCACGCUUAACACAUGCAAGUCGAACGGAAAGGCCUGCUUUCCCUUGUGGAUUGCGGGUACUCGAGUGGCGAACGGGUGAGUAACACGUGAGUGAUCUGCCCCCAACUUGGGUAUAAGCCUGGGAAACUGGGUCUAAUUCCCGAUAGGACUGCAGGGUGGUGCCUGUGGUGGAAAACGAUUUUCUAGUGGUUGGGGAUGAGCUCGCGGCCUAUCAGCUUGUUGGUGGGGUAAUGGCCUACCAAGGCGGCGACGGGUAGCCGGCCUGAGAGGGUGGACGGCCACAUUGGGACGGAGAUACGGCCCAGACUCCUACGGGAGGCAGCAGUGGGGAAUAUUGCACAAUGGGCGGAAGCCUGAUGCAGCGACGCCGCGUGGGGGAUGACGGCCUUCGGGUUGUAAACUCCUUUCGACCGCGAGGAAGCCACCUGGUUGGAAGGGUGGUGACGGUAGUGGUAGAAGAAGCACCGGCUAACUACGUG